GUGUUUCCUGAGAACAUCGCAGAACAAACAACGUAGAACGAACAUCGCAAACGAACAUCGUAGAACAAACAUAGCAGUACAAGCAACGUAGAACAAACAUCGCAGUACAAACAUUGCUGAACGAACAUCGUAGAACGAACAUCGCAGUACAAGCAACGUAGAACAAACAUCGCAGUACAAGCAACGUAGAACAAACAUCGCAGUA